rnacentral:tRNA from 1 species
GCCGCUAUGGUAAAAUUGGUAGACACGCUGCUCUUAGGAAGCAGUGCGAGUCGGUUCGAGUCCGAGUGGCGGCA